rnacentral:rRNA from 1 species
GGACUACCCGGGUUUCUAAUCCCGUUCGCUCCCCUAGCUUUCGCGCCUCAGCGUUAGAAAAGGUCCAGCACGUCGCUUUCGCCACCGGCGUUCCUUCCGAUAUCAACGCAUUUCACCGCUCCACCGGAAGUUCCACAUGCCCCUACCUCCCUCAAGACCGCCAGUAUCAAAGGCAAUUUUCCGGUUGAGCCGAAAGAUUUCACCCCUGACUUGGCAGCCCGCCUACGCGCCCUUUAAGCCCAGUGAUUCCGAACAACGUUUGCACGGUUCGUCUUACCGCGGCUGCUGGCAC